UCAAUAUGAAUUGAUUAAAAUUUAUUUAUUAAUUUUUUAUUUAUUUAAUUUAAUUUAUUAAAAAUAAUUAUAAAAUUUAUAGUUUUAGUAUUUUAUAAAGAAUAAAUAAUUUUAAUUAUAGUUAAUUAGUAUUGUGAAAGAAUAUUGAAAUAAAUUGAAAAAUUUUUAUAAAAAAAGAAAAUUUAAUUUAUUGUACCUUGUGUAUCAGGGUUUAUUAAAUAAAAACCAAAUAUUUGUUUUUCUCGAUUUUGGAAGAGUUAAUAAAUUAUAAAAGUUAAUGUGUUAAAAUUAUUUUUAAUAAUUUAUUAGAAAUGAAAUGUUAUUCGUUUUUGAAGGUAUCUAGUUUUUUUAGAAAUAAAUUUAAUUUACAAUUUUUAAAUUUAUUUAAUUAGUUAAAUUAAUUAAGUAAAUUUUUAAAUUGAAUAUCUUAUGGGAUAAGCUAUAAGAUAAAAUUUUAAAAAUAAUGAAUAAUGUAAUUAAAUAUAUGCUUAGAAUUAGCAAUUGUUGAUAAAUUCGUUAUAAUUUAUUUUAUAAUUUAAAUUAUUUAUUAAAUUUUAAUUUUUUAUAAAAAUGUUAAUUUUAAUUUUAAAAAUUAAUUAAUAAUGAUAAAAUUAGUAUAUUUUUUGUAUAAAUAAGUUAAUUUGGUAAGUUUAUGUAAAGAAUUCGGCAAAUUUAUAUUCGCCUGUUUAACAAAAACAUGUCUUUUUGAAUUUAUUUUAAAGUCUGACCUGCCCACUGAAAUAGUUUAAAUGGCCGCAGUAUAUUAACUGUGCAAAGGUAGCAUAAUCAUUAGUCUUUUAAUUGAAGGCUGGUAUGAAUGGUUGGACGAGAUAUAAACUGUUUCAUAUGAAUUUAUAAUAGAAUUUUAUUUUUUAGUUAAAAAGCUAAAAUUUUUUUAAAAGACGAGAAGACCCUAUAAAUCUUAAUAAUUAUUAUUAUUUUUAUUAUAAAGAUUAAUUUUAUUAUAAUAGUAAUAAUUAUUUUAUUGGGGUGAUAUUAAAAUUUAAUAAACUUUUAAUUAUUUAAAUCAUUAAUUUAUGAUUAAUUGAUCCGUUAAUAACGAUUAAAAAUUUAAGUUACUUUAGGGAUAACAGCGUAAUUUUUUUGGAGAGUUCAUAUCGAUAAAAAAGAUUGCGACCUCGAUGUUGGAUCAAGAUAUAAUUUUAGGUGUAGCUGCUUAAAUUUUAAGUCUGUUCGACUUUUAAAUUCUUACAUGAUCUGAGUUCAAACCGGUG
rnacentral:rRNA from 1 species